rnacentral:lncRNA from 1 species
AUCAUUUUGCUGAAAAGGACCAGGCCUUGUCAGAGGCAUCGUACACAACAGAAUCAAGCUGGCGUUGACGUCGAAAACAAAAUUGAAAUGGCACAAAUAUCAUCUACAGAGACUGAGGAUAUUAAAGGGUGUGGUCGGACUUCGUCCUCAGAAAACCCGUAUGAAGAUCUGCUUGAAGAAAGUGAUGCGGGGCAGAAACAUCAGUAUCUGGGGAUUGCGGUCCAAAGUGAAG